UAUUGCAGGGAGAGCCAGAAGCUUCUAUUAAAAAUACCCUUCCCUGGGCCCCACACUCCUGGAGAUGGUCAGACUCGCUUCCUACAUCAGUGACCUCCGGGUGCUUCUCAUACCCAUCCAGCCUCCACAGAGAAGGCUUCCUUUCUGCGUGGUCCCACGACCAGGCGCCCUGCAGCCCAAGCAAGGCACACAUUCUGCCUGCCUUGUACUUGCUGGUUGCCAGACCCUAGGCAGUCUUUUGUCUGCUUGGUUGGUGCUUUAAGACCAUUGCUUGCUUUUGCCACCUUUGUGUGUUCUGCCGUGCAUCCGUUCAACGGAGGAUGAGAAAGCCGGUCUCAAACUGGUUCCGGCCAUUGUGUCAUCAACGUGGGUUAUGGAUAGAGUUAGAUGCUCAGAGCCGUUUAAAACGGAGUUUGGAGAAGCUGUGCAGCCCUCACAUAUGGAUCCUUCCCCAACCCUGUCUGUUUAGUUAGGAGCUGACCGCUGGUGCUCUGGCCCCAAAGAUGCAGAGAUGUCAAGGCUGAGGGAUCCUUGGGAAUUCCCAGGGCUCUGACCCUGCUGCCUCCUGACCUUGCUCCUCUGUGGUGCCUGUUUUUCUCAGGCAUCAGCAGGAAAUCAAGAGUUUCUAAGUCCACUGGGUGUGCUGGACGCCAGGACAACAGUCCCAUCCUGGGACAUGGAAAAUAUGAUGUGUUCAGCUGAGAACAUGGGGCCUGUCCCGGAAAGGAGGAAGAGCACAUUACUUGGAGAUGGAUCAACCUCCUUAGUGACCGCCUGCCUUGGGGACAAGCUCCUGGCCACACAGAGUGCUGGCUGAAGGGCUCAGCCAGCGCAUCAGUUCCUGGUUCCGAGCAGCUGCCCACUCUGCUCACGGGAUAGGUGUGUCCGUGGAGACGAUGUUGUCCUAACAGGCGGACUGCUCUGGCUACUGAUAAGGUGUAGAUGACAUCCUUUCUAGACACCAAGAGCUGCUCUUCUCAGGGAAUUCAAGGUUGUCUUUUGAAAAUGAUUUUCCUUUCUUCUUCCUCAUCUCCUUGUUAUUUUAUUUGCUUUAAACAACAUCGUCCAUCCAUCCUAAGUCAUUUCAAUCAUGUCUGACUCUUUGUGAUCCCAUGGACUAUAGCCUGCCAGGAUCCUCUGUCCAUGGAAUUCUUGGAGUGGGUUGCCAUUUCCUUCUCCAGGGGAUCUUCCAGAUCCAGGGAUCGAACCCAUGUCUCUUAAGUCACCUGCAUUGGCAGGGGAGGUUCUUUACUAGGAACGCCAGCUGGGAAGCCCUUCAACAACGUACACGAUGGCUUUCUCAAAGAAGACGUAGCCCAGAAUCUACGUCUCCGUUUACAGCACAGUGGCUUUCCUCGGAUUGCUCCCAGGAGCUCUGCUUUACCUCGACAGCCACACAAGCCCUGCGUGUGAGGGGCACCCAGGCAGGGUAGGAAGUGGCCGACGAGGAUGCUUCUGUUUGCAAACCACCUCCCAGGCAUGCGGCUCCUGCGGCGGGACCUGGGCGUGUGCAGUUCUGCAGCAUUGCCAGUACACAGGGAGACGCCAGGGCCAGGCAAACUCCCUAAUGCAAACCUUGAAACUAACCGGAGAAAGAGUUCCCUCUGCACCCGUGCUGUGGUUUUGCAGUGUUUGCUGAUCCAAGCACAUCGACUUAGCUGCAUGUUAAUGAAAACGUUUUUGGAUGGGGCGGCCACCACGAGGAAGGAGGAAGUUCACAUCAAGGAAGGUCCCCUCUCACUCUUCCUGCUCUGCUGGCUUGAUUUUUAAAGAGACAACAUGAUGUUUUUGCUGGAGGAGGUUCACAAAGUUGGAAGUUCAGAUCUCCUUACGGAAGUUGACAGUUGGCUUUAAUAGUGCAGAAAUGGGUCCUGAAACUGUCUGCGCCCUGGGCUGGUCUGGGUCGGAGGCCAACAGAGCUGUAAAGGCUCUUCUGUGUGGGGCAGAAACUCCUCCCGAGGCUGAGCCGCAGCCCCCCUGAGAAGGGCGUUGGUCCACUCCUGGCUCCUGACCAGGUCACCGCCAGUCAUGAGCAUUUGCCCUGCACACCUCCAGCACCGCCCAGAGAGAAAACACACUCCCACACCGAGGCUGGCUUUCCUCUCUGCUACUGAGCCGUUUGCAGGUCUCUGCUUGGCUCGCCCUCUUCCAUUGCGGAGCAGGGCAGCUGAGGUUGCGUGGCACCCAGACACCCCCUCACCAGUGUGCUCCCCAGGGAGGCAGAGGCCGGGAGGGGCUGUGGGGAGAGCUGGCUGGCAUCUCCUCUCUGCCAGCCCUGCUGCCCUCAAACCCCAGAUCGCUCUCCUUGGCACUUAGCUCAUUUCCCCACAGAUUCCCAGAAUAGAACUAAAUUCAGAUCAUCUAAGCGUGUUGCUGGGGGGAGCCAGGCACAUGCUAACCAGUCCGGGGCCCCAGACCCAGAGCCUGACGCCGCUGGGCUCUUGGGCGGCCCCUGGCCUGGCUCUGUGCCUCCCCCAACCCCCUGACCUGGGUCCUCUGGGCAAGCAGCGGGCCUGGCCAACUUUCUCUUGCAACACUCUGACCACGUUGCUCACAGCACAGAAGAGCUCAGAUGGUCACGCAGCUCCUGGCUGGUCAGGACACAGUGGGUGGAAGAAUUGGGACUUUAGUGCCCGUGAGAGGAGGUGCAAGUUGAAAACACAAGUAGGUGCAAAACAAGGUUUGGGAUGAUUUGUAAGUGACUGUUUAUAGGAUUUUCAAGGGGAUCCAGCAAUCACUUGUAUAUAAGCCUCUGCUGUCUAGCAGGGGACACACAAAAUGAAUGGGGGCCUUGCAUUCAAAGAGCCUUCAGUCUGGGAGGGAAACAGGAUAGGCAGCCAGGUACCUGGCAGGUGAAACACUACCCCCAUCCCCACCCAGACAAACCUUCUUGCUCCCCCCGCUUUCUGACCCACCAGGCCAGGACCACAGAUUAGAUGCCAUGGGUCUUGGACAGUAAGAAUACAUUUGCUGAACAAUUCAGAGGAACCGUGAUGAGGUGGAGGCUUUCCUGGUGGCUCAGACAGUAAAGUAUCUGCCUGCAGUGCAGGAGACCCCCGUUUGAUCCCUGGUCCAGGAAGAUCCCCUGGAGAAGAGAAUGGCUACCCACUCCAGGAUUCUUGCCUAGAGAAUCCCAUAGACAGAGGAGCCUGGUGGGCUACAGUCCAUGGGAUUGCAAAGAGUGGACACGACUGAACGGCUAACACUUUGUGUGUGUGUGUGUGUGUGUGCGAAGAGGUGAGAGAUUGGGCAUUAUAGGGAACAACACGGCGGAAACUUCCGGACCCACUUCCUUUGGUUCUGGGCCUUCCAAGAGAUGAAAUCUCUCCUCUCUUAUUGUCCAGUGUCCUGCUGCUUGGCUGUCUCCUUCCUCUCUCCCCUUGGUGACCUCACACCAUACCCCGCUCCCCCUCCCCACUACUCUCCUUCCUCACUUACUUUCUCUGCUUCUCUGUGUAGCUCCCUGCCAUGGGCUCUUCCCUGGGACUCUGCGGGCCCCUCCCUGCCUUUUCACAGGUGCUUUCCCACCAGGCCCCCAUCAGCCAGGGAAGGCUUCAGCGAGGCGGAGCAAACAAAGGAACGGGGCCCUGGAGACAGUGCUGAGCUCUAGCUGGAUCCCCAGACAGCAGCGAAGCUUCAUCCUCCUGAGCUCUGUGACCAAGCUCUCCCACACUGUGUGUUCUGGGGCACGACUUCCUGCAGAAAGCACUCUCCCUCAUGGACUUCUAUAAGACCCACUGCUAUGGGCUGGAUGUGUACCCCACUCCCCCUCCAAAUUUACGUGUUCAGUCCUAACCCCAGCGCUUUGCAGGAUACAGAACAACUGGUGUGCCCAUUCAUACUCAGCUGGUGGAGUACGAAUCAGAACCACCGCCUCUGAAAACAGUCGGGCUUUCUUUUUUAACAAAGAUAAACAUACAGUUACCCUAAGAGCUAGCUAGCAUUUGCUCUCUGAGGAAUUCAUUCUCUUGAAAAGAAAUGAAGACAUGUCCACAUAGACACUUAACCACUGGUCUUCAAAACAGUUCUAUUCACAGCAGCCUCAAAGUGGACACAGCCCAGCUGUCCAUCCAUGAAUGCACGCUCAGUCGUGUCCAACUCUCUGCGACCCUGUGGACUGUAGCCCGCCACGCUCCUCUGUCCAUGGGAUUCUCCAGGCAAGAACACUGGGGUGGGCUGCCAUGCCCUCCCCCAGGGGAUCUUCCGAAUCCAGAGAUGGAACCUGCAUCUCCUAUGUCUCCUGCAUUGGCAGGCGGGUUCUUUACCACUGGCGCCACCUGGGAAGCCCUUGUCCAUCCAUAGGUGAAGGAGUAAAUGAGUUGGGGUACCUGUACAGGGAGUCACUACCUUGCAAUAAAAAAACUCCGAACUACUGAGCUGUGUAACCACCGUGGCUGACCUGCAAAGUCACCGCACCGAGAGAAAGGAGCCAAGCACGGAAAGGCCACGCGGAAUACGACAGGAUCUUGUUCUAUCAAACUCUUGAAAAGACAAAUCUCAUCCACAGUGACAGAAAGCAGGUCAGGGGUUGUCCGGGACUGAGCAAGGAGACAACUGAUGGGGAAGGGGCCCCGCAGAAGUCUUUUCUGAGGGACUGAAAUGCUUUUACCUCAACUGGGAUUGCAGUUACACACACAUGUGUUUGUCAUGCAGGAAUGUCUUACUGCACGCAAGUUAUACUCAAUGAAGUUAAUAUAAAUUUAGAAUCAAAAAAGAAUGUCACGUGUCCUGACCUGGAAUACUUUAAAAGUACGUCACAGAAGAAUAAGCCUAGAAUUAUGUUAAAAAUAAUCACAUUUUAACCACCUCCCCAUCUCUGUAAAUGCAAGGGAAGGAUUCAGAAAAAAAAAGAGGCAAUGAAAUGAUAACUGGAUGUUACCCAAGGGCAAUGAGUGAGAUGGAGGGGACGUUUCACUUACAGUGAGUGCGUAUUCCUUCUGUGUCAUUUGGUUUUUAUAAUCAGUAUCUAUGUACUGUUUGUAUACCGUUUUGUUGUUGUUGUUAAGGUUAACACACACACACACGUACACACACACAGGCACUUGUCCCAAAUCACAUGAGUCUGAGCCUAUUCUGACUCCAAAGCCAGAAGCUACGAGCCUCUAGGUGCUCGCUGGGGCUCUGCCAUGAAGAACCGCAGUUCCUUCCCAUCGGCUCCAAGAGCAGUGCCAGGCCGAAGGCGCAGGGUGUUCCUCGCACGCUCUUGGCUCCAAGAACACGUGGAAACACAAACCAGUGUGGAGGAAUGCCUCUGAUUCUCCCGGUUUCCUGUACAAUUUGACUACGAAGCCGAAAUAACUGUGAACAACUGUUUUGGUUGUUGCUAAUAAGUGUUUCCUGCUGCUGCUGCUGCUAAGUCGCUUCAGUCGUGUCCGACUCUGCGCGACCCCAUAGACGGCAGCCCACCAGGCUCCCCGGCCCCUGGGAUUCUCCAGGCAAGAACACUGGAGUGG